GACGAACGCUGGCGGCGUGCUUAACACAUGCAAGUCGAACGGUAAGGCCCUUCGGGGUACACGAGUGGCGAACGGGUGAGUAACACGUGGGUGAUCUGCCCUGCACUUCGGGAUAAGCUUGGGAAACUGGGUCUAAUACCGGAUAGGACCACGGUCUGCAUGGAUUGUGGUGGAAAGCUUUUGCGGUGUGGGAUGGGCCCGCGGCCUAUCAGCUUGUUGUGGGGUGAUGGCCUACCAAGGCGACGACGGGUAGCCGGCCUGAGAGGGUGUCCGGCCGACACUGGGACUGAGAUACGGCCCAGACUCCUACGGGAGGCAGCAGUGGGAAUAUUGCACAAAUGGGGGCAACCCUGAUCCAGCAAUGCCGCGUGU
rnacentral:rRNA from 1 species